GUCGUGGAAAGUGGGCUACAGUUGGCUGAUGCAAACAAAACCCAGGAGGUCCCAAGAGCUUUCGGGUAUGUACACGGCAAAGGGGUCAUCGGUCUCAGCUCAAAAAAUACUCCCCACGGCCGAGAGCCCAGUACACAAAGCAGUUUUUCCCGAGGAAGGAAAGGAUGAUGGGAGAAGACAAGCAACUACAAGCCCCAGCAUGCAAUGCGCACUCUGGCUGCAGGAAAGCGGCCUGCGGAGCGGCUCUGCCCGGCCGCGGCCCGAAUGCGGCCCGAGCGCGAGACCCGGACUGUUGGCCGACCAGGCUCUGAGAAUGAGGACGCAGGCGGGGCGCUCCGAGCGACCCCUGGGGUCUCCUGUCUUUGAUGCUCGCUAUUUUGGGGAGGGGGCCCCUGGCAUGUAAGGUGUCGGUGUGAAGCGGGAGGUGGACCGCCCAGUUCAGCCCCGGCUGGUGUGGGACCUCCACGGUCCUAAAGCCUCCGGGGUUGCCAAGGGGCUCCCGGACCCGGAUGUGACGUCGUCGUGGAGGAAGAAGGGAAAGGCGGAGCUGGCGCGGUGACGUCCUCCCAAGAUGGCGGGGAGAGAGUGAAGAAACAGUGUCCCCGGCUGGGUGGCUCUAGAACAAGGGUAAAUAAAGUUCCACUCCGGUCUCAAAAUGCAGUAUUCGCACCACUGUGAGCACCUUUUGGAGAGGCUGAACAAACAGCGGGAGGCAGGUUUCCUCUGCGACUGCACCGUCGUGAUUGGGGAAUUCCAGUUUAAAGCUCACAGGAAUGUGCUGGCCUCGUUCAGUGAGUAUUUCGGUGCCAUCUACAGAAGCACUUCCGAGAACAAUGUCUUUCUUGAUCAGAGUCAGGUGAAGGCAGAUGGAUUUAAGAAACUGUUGGAGUUUAUAUACACAGGAACUUUAAACCUUGACAGUUGGAAUGUUAAAGAAAUUCAUCAGGCUGCUGACUAUCUCAAAGUGGAAGAGGUGGUCACUAAAUGUAAAAUAAAGAUGGAAGAUUUUGCUUUUAUUGCUAAUCCCUCUUCUACAGAGAUAUCUAGUAUUACUGGAAACAUUGAAUUGAAUCAACAGACUUGUCUUCUUACUCUACGAGAUUAUAACAGUCGGGAGAAAUCGGAAGUGUCUACAGAUUUAGUUCAGGCAAAUCCUAAACAAGGGGCUUUAGCAAAGAAGUCAUCUCAAACUAAAAAGAAGAAGAAGGCCUUCAACUCCCAGAAAACAGGGCAGAGUAAAACAGUGCAAUAUCCCAGCAGCAUUUUAGAGAAUACAUCUGUUGAAUUAUUCCUAGAUGCAAAUAAACUGUCCACACCUGUAAUUGAACAGGUUGCACAGAGAAAUGAUAAUUCAGAACUUGAGUUGACAUCAGUUGUGGAAAAUACUUUUCCAGCCCAAGAUAUUGUGCAAACUGUUACAGUGAAACGGAAACGUGGAAAAUCACAGCCAAACUGUGCUCUGAAAGAACACUCUAUGUCCAAUAUAGCCAGUGUCAAGAACUCUUAUGAGCUGGAGAGCUCUGGGGAAGAGCUGGAUCAGAGGUAUUCCAAGGCCAAGCCAAUGUGUAACACAUGUGGGAAAGUGUUUUCAGAAGCCAGCAGCUUGAGAAGGCACAUGAGAAUACAUAAAGGAGUCAAACCUUAUGUUUGCCACUUGUGUGGAAAGGCAUUUACCCAGUGUAACCAGCUGAAAACACAUGUAAGAACUCAUACAGGUGAGAAGCCAUACAAAUGUGAAUUGUGUGAUAAAGGAUUUGCUCAGAAAUGCCAGCUAGUCUUCCAUAGUCGCAUGCAUCAUGGUGAGGAAAAACCCUAUAAAUGUGAUGUAUGCAAUUUACAAUUUGCAACUUCUAGCAAUCUCAAGAUUCAUGCAAGGAAGCAUAGUGGAGAGAAGCCAUAUGUCUGUGAUAGGUGUGGACAGAGAUUUGCCCAAGCGAGCACAUUGACCUAUCAUGUUCGUAGGCAUACUGGAGAAAAGCCUUAUGUGUGUGAUACUUGUGGGAAGGCAUUUGCUGUCUCUAGUUCUCUUAUCACUCAUUCUCGAAAACAUACAGGUGAAAAACCAUACAUAUGUGGUAUUUGUGGGAAAAGUUUUAUUUCCUCAGGAGAGCUCAACAAACACUUUCGAUCCCAUACAGGAGAAAGACCAUUUAUCUGCGAAUUAUGUGGAAAUUCUUACACGGAUAUUAAAAAUUUAAAGAAGCACAAAACAAAAGUUCAUUCUGGGGCAGAUAAAAUUCUAGAUACUACUAUAGAGGAUCAUCCCUUAAGUGAACAAGAUUCCAUACAAAAAAGCCCUUUAUCAGAAACUUUGGAUGUGAAACCUUCUGAUAUGACUUUGCCACUAGCCCUUCCACUUGGGACUGAGGACCACCACAUGCUUCUGCCUGUCACAGAUAAUCAGUCUCUGACAUCAGACACAUUGUUGAGGUCAACUGUGAAUGGGUAUUCAGAACCACAAUUGAUUUUUUUACAACAGUUAUACUGACUUUGUGAGGAUUAUGGAAUUGCUAAAACAUCUCUGGUAGUAAACAUAAACAUCUCUGGUAAGAGAGGAAGGAAGAGGGAGAGAGAGAAACAUCAGUGAUGAGAAUCAUCGAUUAAUUGCCCCCUGCACACUCCCCCCAUCCCCCAACCGGGGAUUGAACCCAAAGCCCGGGCAUGUGCCCCGAGUGGGAAUCAAACUGUGACCUGGUUCAUAGGUUGAUGCUCAACCAUUGAGCCACACUGACCGGGUGGAGCAUUAAUUUCUUGAGACAAUAAUAUGGUUUACUCUUCUGUCUGUCUCCGCAGUCCCUCCCCCCUUUCAUUCAAGAGAGAUUUGGUAUAUUUGUUUAAGGAAUUAAAUAAUUAUCAUAUAAAUUAUCAUACAGAAAUGGGAUAUUCAAUUUCAAGAAGAAUGGACUAAAACACCAUGGUUGUGAACAGAUAUUUGGAUUAAAAUAUUUGGCUAGUAUUUCAAAUGCUGGAAAAUGAAUGAAAUUGUUACCAGUGGGGAGAGUUCCUCAUCCCCAUCUGUUGCUCAUGGGAAUGGAAUUCUUGUGAUAUCCUGAGACUUACAUGGGAGGAUGAAAUAUUGUAGAAAGCUGUAUUUCUGUGGAAUUACACCCCUGAGUUUCUAAGAUCCCAUUUCCCUAUGUCCCUUCAAGGAAGAAGUACAGCUGUGGCUUCAGUAUGGCUAACAUAAAAAUCAGUAUCCAGAGUCUCUGUUCCGUAUUAGGGCAUCGUCCAAUCUUGCAUCAGGCUAGUUUAGUUUGUAUUCCCAGGUGCAGUCUAUCAGUCUAUUUUAUGUGGGGUCAGCAUGGCCGUGGGCCAUGUGUCUAUGGAGGGAAUACAGGCAGGUGCAAAACCAAAGGAACCAGAUAGCCAAGAGCUUGAAACUGUAGUUUCAAGAAAUUGUAGUUUCCUGGUGAAGCUACCCAGGUGACAUGCCUAUAAUAUCUGGCCUCCCUUUUGUUCUUUUUCUACUAAUAACUAGCUAAUUACAAUGAUAUCAAAAUCAUAAAGCUACAAAGAUAAAUAAGAUAAAUUCCACCUUUAAGUUUUCAGUCAAAUGGGAAAGACAAGCCUGAAUGUAACUAGCAAUAAAAUAAGUUAGAAUGUCGGGUAUUGCAGGGGAGGAAGGCAAGAAAGGAAAUGUUGAGCAGUCAGAGGGAGUUGAAUGGACAAAGAAAGGGCUGUUGCCCCCCUAGUUCUGAAAACAAGAGAUGGCUGAUGGGAGCCCUUUGCACACAGCUGACUGAGAUAGGCAGAAUGGAGAGAAAGUGGGAAAUGGGAAUGAGAAGUUCCACAUGUCCAGCUCUGUACCUAUACCAUCUUUUCUGGUUAUACCAUCUUUUUUGUUAUUAAUCCUCAUCCUAGGAUAUUUUUUCCAUUGAUAUUUAGAGACAAUGGAAGGGGGUUGGGGGGGGGGGAGAGACAGAGAGAGAAACAUUGAUUGGUUGCCUCCCGCAUGCACCCCAACCGAGGCCCGGGAUCCAGCCUGCAACCAAAGUCCAUGUGCUUAACUAGAAUCAAACCCAAGACCCUUCAGUCUGCGGACCAGUCCUCUGACCACUGAGCGAAACUGGGUAGGCGUAGCUGCACCUAUACCAUUUUACUUGCAGUAGUCCCCUACCCUUAGCCUAUGCAGAAGGAAUGGGAUUGGGUAGCCUGGUUCAUAACCCACCUUCUCACGAAAACCGCAGUUGACUGCUGAAGCCACAUUUGUAACACAUGAUUCCAUACCAAGACCACAGCUGCCUGAAUACCUUACCAGUGAGAAACAAUUCUUAGGCCAGACUGAGCUAGUGAGGUUCUUUUAAAAAAUAUGUGUCUUUAUUUAUUUUAGAGGGAGAAGGGAGAGGAAUAGACAAAUAUUGAUGAGAAAGACAUCGGUUGGCUGCCUCCUGUGUGUUCUUCCGCCCCCUCCCCACACACAGCGAGGAUCAAGCCCACAACCCAGGCAUGUUCCCUGACUGGGAAUCAAACUGGAGGACCUCUUAGUUCAUGGGUCAGUGCUCAACCACUGAGUCACACCAGCCGGGCUACUUAGGUUCAAUAUAUUUUUAUUGAUUUCAGACAGGAAGGGCAAGGGAGAGAGAGGUAGAAAUGUCAAUAAUGAGACAGUAUCAUUGAUUGGCUGCCUGCUGCACGUCCCCUACUGGGGAUUAAGCCCUAAACCCAAGCAUAAUGUGCUGACCGGCAAUUGAACUGUGGCCUCCUGGUUCAUAGGCCAAUGCUCAACCAUUGGCUGGGCAGGCUAGUUAGGUUCUUUCUCAUAAAUUUGAACUAUGAAAUUCUGAGACCAUUACGUAUACAUGUAAAUAAAAUAUCAUUUAUAACUGGCCCAUGGUGAAGCAAGCCAAAAGAAACUGAAGAAGCAGAAAAAGCUGAUUUGUAGAGCAAAAGCAAGGGGAUGAAAUAGGUUUGCAGAACCAACUGAGGAGUUGCCCGGGUUUCUAACUUUUCAGGUCCAUUCCUGGGAUACAACCAUGCUUCAUUUCCUUGUCUUUGGAUUCCAGUGAGUUUUGCCUGAUACAUACUUAUAGUAAGUAAAUCCCCUUGUUCUUUUAUUUGAAAGUUUUAAGUACAUUUUUUAUUGAUUUCAGAGAGAGGGAAAGAGAGAGAGAAACAUCAAUGAUAGAGAAGCAUUGAUUGGCUGCCUCCUGCAUACUUCCUUCUGGGGAUCGAGCUUACAGCCUGGGCAUGUGCCGUGAUAGGGAAUGGAACCGUGUGACCUCAUGGUUCAUAGGUUGAUGUGGAACCAGUGAGCUGCCCCAGUCGGGCAUAAUUCCGCUUUUUCUUAAACAGGCUUGAGUCAGUUUCUGUUCCUUGCAGAUAGACAGCUUAAGACACCUAAGUUUUGAUCCUUAGUGACUGGGGUGGUGAUGCCAAGAACAUACAUGAAAGAAAAAACUCUUAUUGUGGAUUUACUGAAUAUGACUGGAGGUGAGAUAUCCAUGGGAAACCAGCAGUAGUUGGAAAUGGGGCCUGAAACCCAGUAGAGAUGAAACUAGAGAGACAGAUCUUGCAGCAUACGACUAAUUAUUGUGAUAGAAGUGAUUAAGGCAGCCCUGGGAGUUGGUACAGAAGAACAAAAGAUGAGGACAAAAUAUUGGGAAAAUGCAUUUCAAGAAUUUGCCAAAGACAAAAGGAGAUGGAAAGUAGUAACAAGAAAAAAGUGAUGGUUCAAGCUGGUCACAUGGUAAAGAGAAAUUAAAUAGGAUGCCAGUCAAAAACAACAUUGGGUUGGGUAAUUGGAGUAGAAACCAGGUGGAUGUAGUUUGAGUAGUAGAUAAGACAUAAUGAAUACUAUUUAGUUUGAAAAGCAGAGUGUGUGGCACAAACAAGAUAAUUAUUUUACCAAAUAUCUAAAAAAGUAUAAAUCACUUUGUUCAUUUUUCCCCCCCAAAUUUUAAACAUUGUAAAAUGAGCAUAAUAUAAUUCACAGCACUGUAAUACAAGGCUGUUUCUGAGCUGGAUCUUCAAAGAUUGCUAGGAGGAAAAUGGAAGGAAACUUCAGACACAUAUAUGGUUGCAGAUUUACUCAUGACAGUUCACAUGUGCAGAGGAAGUGGAGUUUUCCUAUAGAACUCUCAUAUCCUUCCUCUUGAGCUCCCACCAGUGGGAAGUCUAGAAAAAAAAUAAUUUUUAGUCCUAACCACUUUAAAAUCUAGCCUUAUAUAAAGGGGCUAUAUAGUUUAUAAUAUCUUGAGUUAAUGCUUAAACUCUUGGAAUAUUGCGGUCUUAUUUCUGCUCUUUCUCUUAAAUGGGAUCCACAUAUAUGGAGGAGGGAGCUUUAUAUGAGUGGCAUCAAGGAAGUCAGUGUCUUCAGCUCUUCCAUUCUCUGGGCAUCUUGCUGGCCUCUGGUGCCCUGAGCAACAGCUGGUAAAUUGUGUGAUCAGGUUUUUCCGACGAGCCUGGUCAGAGCCCUCAGUAGUUCUUGGCUGCACUGACCUCACCUAGGUUUUCUUAGGUAUGGAGAACUCUGAGACUUCUGCAACUCUCAACCAGUCCGGUUGCAGGUUACCUCACUGCGGGCUCCAGGUAAACGUACUUGCUUCCCCAUCAGCUACCUUCUGAGUCUCCUCUUGGGAGAAUUUAGGAACUUAGUGGGACAUCUCGAUAGCACACAAGAACAGAAAGAGGCCUGGAAAAGCAUUAUUGCUAAGGGUUACUUGACUGUGUCCUAGCCUUAGAGGCUGUCUUUCCAGAAUGCUGUAGACUCGUCUACUGCCCAGCAUAUUCUAGAAUAUUUCAAUGCAAUAAAAGAUGGGCUAAUGCUACAUUAAAGAACAUAAAUGAAUCACACUAAUAGAAUGUUGAGCAAAAGAAGUCAGAUACAAAACGUAUACACUGUUUGAUGCCAUUUAUUUAAAAUUAUUAAGCAGGCAAAAUUACUCUGGUGUUAGAAGUCAGCAUAGUGGUUGUCUAUUGGAAGAGGUUUGGAGGCACUUGGGGGAAGCUUGUGAUUUACUGUCUUUAUCUGUGUCAUAGUUAACAUAGGUGGGUAACUUUGUGAUCAUCUAGCUAUUCACUCAAGAUUUUUGUACUUUUCUGUAUGAUGGCUAUACGUCCAUUUAAAAGAAAUAUAUAAUUUUUUAUUUUAAGUUGAAGAAUAAUGUUAAAUAUUUAUUUAGAGUACAGCUGUGAUUUGAGGAAUUCACAAUACUUUAAGGGAACGUCAAUACUUGGGCCAACUGUAAAGUUGACCACUACCUUUUAUUCUAACCCAUUCUCAACAUUUAGAGAUAGACUGACUUUCUUUUAGACUGCAGAACGUCAGCUUAAUUUAAAGUACCUUUUAAAAUCUGUUCACAUACUUUUUUCUCACUUUGCCUGGCUUGAGCAGU